GACGUAGGGCGCGAGCGUUGUCCGGAUUUAUUGGGCGUAAAGAGCUCGUAGGCGGGUUGUCGCGUCGGAUGUGAAAGCCCGGGGCUUAACUCCGGGUCUGCAUUCGAUACGGGCAGGCUAGAGUGUGGUAGGGGAGAUCGGAAUUCCUGGUGUAGCGGUGAAAUGCGCAGAUAUCAGGAGGAACACCGGUGGCGAAGGCGGAUCUCUGGGCCAUUACUGACGCUGAGGAGCGAAAGCGUGGGGAGCGAACAGG
rnacentral:rRNA from 1 species